CCGCGUCUUAGCUCAACAUUGGUGGGUACUGUGUAAGGGGCUUCGCUCCAACCAAACGGAGGGAUUCAAUGCUGCCACCAUCACCCCUCUGCCGAUCCCACCUUGUCCUGAUGCAGAAGAAGGAUCUCCCCCCCAAAAAAAUUUCUAGGCUCCACCCGAACCCGUAUAAUUCCUUCACAUGCACACACGUGUUCACCACCUCCUCACUGGAGGACAGGGGUUUUCAAUUGACCCUAUGGAUUCACCCCUUCCUCAUCACCCCAAACCCUAAAUAUAUGGUGUGAAUAUAUUUGGAGUAAUCUGUUUUGGGUAUGCCGAGGGGAUCCUAAAUCCAUUUACUUUACUUCGUUUAUGUGUGUGUGUGUAUUUUAGGCCGGGAUCCUUAGGCCGUCCAUCCUUUGGGAACGAUCGGCGGGACUUGCUCCCGAGGUGUAAACCAGACUCGGGUCCGUCCACCUAAGUAGUCCUGAGCGCACGGAAUGAAUGGAGCGCCUUGUGUUUAAAUCGAAGGGUGCUGCUUGGGCUUGAAGACUAUCUGGGCAUGAUUCUGGAUUAACUAGCUGCUAAAUCGCUUCCCAAACUCUAUUUCUCCGACGCCCACAUAUAAACAUCCCGACGAUCCUCCGCUCUUUUGGUUUCAACUGCUCUUACUUCUCCGUCCAAAGAAAAUCUUUCUCUGUGUCCAGAGACUACUUUCUGCUUGUCCAUUUCCAAACGUGUUGAAAGGCCACUUAGAUCCUAACCUGUUUUCACACACACACACACACACCCGCCUCAUUUCUUUGCUACGCAAAACCAGUUGGUAAUACUCGCGAGGAAGCGAUUUCCCUGUGGCCUUGUUUUGCCGACAAAAAAAUAGAAAGAAAUUAAGAAGUCUGUGCGCGCGCGCAGAGGAAUAAACACAAACAUCCCUCCCUAACAGCAAGUCGUUUGCUAGAAAUUGACCAGUUAAUUGAACGCAUUAAAAAAAAGGACCAGCAGUUUUGUUUAUACACAAAUGAGACACACCAAAAAUUAAAGUGAUUCCCGGAUCUCCCCUGCCACCAAGGGGAUCUCUCUGGAAAGGCGGUAGGUUUGGAACUCACCCACUUUUAAAAAUCAAGUUUCUGAUUUCUUUGCGAGAUAGACGCAGACAAGGGGCAGGAUGUUUAUACAGCGCAACGUAAACAAGUUCCCGGGCCUUUUUUAAUAAAAUGAAAACGUCCGGAGUUUCUUCCAGUGGCCCUCAGCUUAUAUUGCUGAUUGUUUAGGGCUUUUCUUCCACCCACCCCAUACAUUCCCAUUCCAAAUAUUUUCUUCUGUAAAAAAAACAAAACAAAAACCGUACUAGACGCCUUGGUUAUUACUUGAUUCUACAGAUUCUCAAAGACACUCGCACGAAACGUGCUUCCUAAAAGCGUCUCCAAAAAACAUCCCCAACCCACAUUUAGAGAAGGGUGGGUGUCCCUCGUCCCCUCCCUAUCAUUUUUUUAAACAUUUUUUUAAAACUCUCCGGAGAAUCUUUUCAUCCGCUUCCCAGCCUGCCACUCACUCAUCAAGAAGAGAGAGAAGGCAGAAGCGGCUUGAGGAUCGCAGCAAGGAUGCCUGGAUGAGACCAUUGAGCUGAAUCACACACCCCUUUGCCCUUUACACUACAAUCCGAUGCACACUUUUGUAGGAGUAGGUCCGGAUUGUGCUAUUAAAGACACACUCAUGUCACUUGAGAAAUUAAGCACGUGUCUGUCUCCCACGAAAAACAGUGAGACCUCGAUGUGUUUAACUUCGUCUAUAGUUGGAAAUGGCUCCUGAUAGUUCUGUUAGACAUUAUUAUUAUUAUUAUUAUUAUUAUUAUUAACCAUGAUAUUACACCCACUAAAAUUAAUGUACCUAAGUUGGCCAUGUCCAUUAAACCCAAUGGGUCUACUCUGAGUAGGACCAGCAUCUGCUCCCACUUAUUAUGAUAAUUACUAUUAUUAUUACUAUUUCAUCUCCAAGACUCCUCUCUAUUCAAAUUUUAUAUUGAUCACGUUUCCUGCCCGCACCCAACCUUUCCACGCUGGACCUUCAAAUAAGUCGAAGCUGUCGAUCAUUUCAAGGCUUUCUUUUGUCACUUAAAGAAAGUAGUGGCAACGUUUCCCUGAGGGGCGGGCGGGCUGUGGAGGACAUUUAUUGAAAUUUCAGGAUCAGGGGAAAGUCUUGGGGGGACAAGCAACGAGGGUUUCCCCUGCCUCCCCCCACGCUAAGAUGUGACUGGUUUUGGUGUGAUCACUGGUGAGAACGCAAACAUCUGAAACAAUCCCGCGCAAGUAUAGGGUACCACUUCCAAAUACAGUUGUAUCCGUUUUCCCUGCGCCUCUUUAGAUGUGCAUUUUUAGGUACCAAAAAUAGCACUGCGUUCUGUAUUGUACAGCUUGGAUUCUUGAACGAGUGAGAGGUGUAUCAGUGUCUUUUGAGUGAUUAAGGGGAAAAAAUGGGCAGGAUCUCUCCCCCGCACAUUGUAAAUCCUCAUUUACAAAGCCAAGACAACCACAAACGUUAUUAAGGCAAUUAAAAGAUUUAUGGCUGUGAAUGAGAAAACAUAUGUAAAAUCCAAUGCUUUCUGCGCAGAGUAGACCCAUAGAAAAUAAUGGGCAAGCCUAACUUAGGUCCACUCAUUUCAACGUCUCUGCUCUGAAUAGAUAUUUGUUGAAUACAACAGUUAGAACGUUCUAAGGCAGCAUAGAAAUAUAAUAUUGGUUGAUUCGUUUUCAGUGGGUUUUUAUACACUUAAAAAAAGUAUUUCAAAGAGAAAGUCCCUUUUAGGACAGAGAGGGAAGGGUAUGACUAUUUUUAAUAAAUGAUCAGUACUGGCAUAGAAACAAAGCAAUUAGUAUUUACCAGAAAGCCAUAUAUACAACCCUGUUCCUUUUUUCUUUCUUUUUUCUUGUUAAAAAAUAUUGACUUUAAAAUGGAAAAGUCUUACCCAUUUCAUUUCAAAGUAAUUUCUAUAAACAGCAAACGAAUUGUUAUUGCGUGACAAUAUAUUCAUUUUCAAUCCAUUAUGAUGUAUAAACAAUCAUUUGGUAUGAGUCACAGAUCAAGCAUGGGACGAAACUCAAGCGCGCACGGGGGGGGGGGAGAGUCACAUACAUGAUCUCAGUCUUCCUUACAACCACCCUGUAAGGUAGGUCAGUAUUAAUAUGUCCAUAUUGAAGAGAGGGCGCUGAUAGCGUGGCUGAGGCUGCAAUCCUAUGCUGUCUUUUCUAAGAAUAAUCUCCACUGAAUUCAAGCAAACAAGCAUGGGACUGGGUUAUUAGUGAGGUCUGAGGUGAGGGUAGAUUUGCCCAAGAAGCAGAAAGACGCCCGAAUUCCUUCCCAAAGAAGACACGGAGCUCUUAUUUGGUGUAUUCAAUGGGGCUCACUUUCUAGAACACCUGCAAUCCUAUACUUAUUUACCUGAGAGUAGAUUUUACUUCUGAGCAGACAUGUACAGGAUUGCAACUGUUCACUGUAUUUAGGAUUACAGCGUUACAGAGUGAUCCUGCCAAUGCCUAAACAGAAGUAAGUCCCAUUUACUUAAAUAGGAUUUGCUCCCCGGUAAGUGGGUAAAAGGGUUACUGUUUUUCACAGUAAAUUGGAUUUCAACAAAAUCGGUGGGCUUCUGUAUCUUUUAAAAAAACAACAACCUAUUUUAAAUAAAAACAUUUUAUAACCUAGGCGCAGUGUACUGCGAUUCUCUCAUACCCUUCCGCAUUCCAGAUGUAGGGACAUCAAUUUAAAUAAAUAAGCAAUUCUAAAACUGGAGAAGAAUGAAAAGUAUUUUGUUUCGCUUUAGCAUAAAUGAAACGUAUUGGUGGAGAGAGAUAUGGAUAAUAAAAAAGGAUGAGCGGACUUCAAGCUUGCGGGUUCUACUUUGGGUCGGAGCCAAUAUUAGUUUACUCGGAGUAGACCCCUUGAGAUUAAUAGACUAAUUUAGGUCCAUUCAUUGGAUUCGGAAUUAAGUGCCAAAUAGUGGUUUAGAAAGAAGGGCGGGCAUACAGUUAGAACGAAAGAACCGGGACACCUCUGAAUCAGCGAAGAGACUUGUGGGAUCUUAAAGAUUCCACAUUUUAUUAUGGCUUAGGUAGACUGAAGUCCAUUUCAACAGAGGCAAGACCACCUCUGAAUUUGUGUCCAGGACCCAGACUCAAGCCCACAGACCUUUCCCCCCAAAAUCCAUUCCUCGUUCCUCCUCUCCAGCUUUCUUCGUUUCAGCAGAUACAUUGGGGGGGGGAGGGGAGUUGCUGUGGAGUCCAAAAUCCUUGGUGACCUCCUGCAAAUAGCACAGAUACCUACAAGUAGAUCCCGCUGUACCACCUUCUGCUCCUGCCCUUGUUCGUAUUGAAGAAGACUAACGCAAUAUCCUCCUGCGGGGAUUGCGCAGGUUGGGCUGCGCUCUUCAAUGGAAAUUGCGCAGGAGAACGAGCCGCUGGAUUGUGCCUUCAACGCUCUUCCUCGAAGCAGUCUUUUAGAUCCCCCGAUUGCAAAACCGGAAUGGUAUUUCUCCUUAGAGAGGGGACGCUUUGGAAGUCCCAUUGCAGUGAAUCGGAAACUGCUGCGCCAGAACGCAGCUCCAUAGCAGAAGCUAGCGCCGGGAUCGUGCCCAUACCCAUACUAGAGUCUCCCAGAUCGCUUUGCAUUUGCAUCCCUUAAUUCUCGAUAACAGAAGUUUUAUUUAGAGCACAACACCGUUUUUUGGGUGCUUCCAAGGUAUCCCUAGUGCCCAGUGAAAUUAUUUUAAUUUCUAGAAAGGGGUGUUGAGUCAACAUUCGGGAUUUUGAGGCAAACUAGUCAAGUUCUCGCUUUGUCCCAUCUAGAAUCAUCAUCAUCAUCAUCAUCAUCAUCUUGCCUGCCCUGCACCAUGAGGUCCCCUGGCAGGUUACAACGAUGUAAAAUACAGAAUUGAAAUCAGUCAAAACAAAUUACAGUCGAGAGAUCAGGAUGGGUCCUAAAUAGAUGUUUCAGAUGUUUCCCUAAAGGAAAACAAACAAACAAAUUAGCUAGUGUAGCUAGUGAAAAGAAAAACCCUGGCACUCCUCAAUUAUGUGCCCCCUGGUUAAUUUAGAGCUCUCUAUGGGGUGUUUUGUGUGUAUGGCAUCCAUGGUACAGAAUAUCGGGUAAGAAAUAUGUUCAGGAAAGAUAGGUGCAAUUCACCCCCCCCCAUAACAUUCAUUACACGACAUCCCAAUCUCUGAACAGUAAAAGAUUCCAGAGGUGCCAAGGGUGUUGCCAAGAGGUUUGGUUUCCUGGGAAUGAAGGUAGGAGGAGGCUGUGGUGUCUUUAGGGUGUAUGGUUUUAUUUGCACAGGAUGGAGGGACUCACAGCAUUAACAGCCCAAUAGAUCUUUCUUUUCCACUAGUCGCAUCUUUGGAUCCAGCACAGAGCAACUAUAUGUCUCUCUGAGGUGCAAAUGAAGAGAGGCUGCUUCUGGAAAUCUCAACGGGCAUGUAUUUCCACCUGCCUUCUCCACCCCAUUGCCUGAGAUCCUUAUAAGGAGGAGAGCUGUAUUUGGGACAAUGAAAUGAUUGCUACAGGGGAAAGACUGCUGGAACCAUCAAGGGCAGGCUGUAAAUGGCAGAAGAGGUGGGAUGGUGGAGUUUGCAGUCAACACACUGCUUAUCUUUGGAGCAGCAGUGAUUCAUGCAUAGGAAAGGGACCCCUUCCAAACUACUCAGAUUGGGUAUUGAACUGUGAGGUUAUGUGGGGCUUGAAGGACAACCAAUCUUUACCUCCCCAUGUGAGGGAUGGGGAAGGGAUUGAGAAAGGAGACCCAGGUGAGAACUGGGCACCCAUACAGCAAGUUAAUUUGGUGGGCAUAUGUGGAAUGUCCUUUGGGAAUAGUGACCCCACCAAUUUUGGAUGCUACCACUUUAUUUCCUUUGUGGAUAUUAUUCUCGCAAUUACGGUAGAAUCAUAGAGUUGUAGAGCUGGAAGGGACCAAAGGAGUCAUUUAGUCCAACCCCUUGCAAUGCAGGAAUCAUUUGAACCCAUGACCCGGAAAUUAGGAGUCUCAUGCUCUGUUUAGCUUUAUGUUAGCUUAUUUAUAUUUCUCUUGUAUUUAUUUGUAUUUAUUUAUAUUCUAUAUUUAUUUGCAUUAUGAUUGUUUCAAAUUGUUCUUACUUUUUUAAACUUGUUAUAUUUAUUUGUUGUUGUUUAUCUGGUAUGUUGUGAGCCACUUUGAGCACUAUUGUAGCAGCAUACAA